UCCUCCUUUUUUCAUCAUUAUUUAAUCUUCUUCAAUUUUCUAAAUCCUUACCUAUCAACUCCUCUUUAAUUAAUAAUUCCUUCUGUUUUUAAAAUUCUUUUAUAAUUUAAUAAAUUUUAUAUUAGGAAAUGACUAUCAAUUGACGGUACCUUAUGAGAAAGCCACUGCUAACUACUUGCCAGCAGCCGCGGUAAUACUUAGGUGGCAAUCUUUAUCCUGAAUUAUUGGGCGUAAAUAUCUCGCAUUUUUUUAAUUAAUUCUUAUUUUAAAGCCCACUUCUUAACCUUUUAUGGUCAUUGGAAACU
rnacentral:rRNA from 1 species